UGAUGAGUUUAUCAAGGUCUU
rnacentral:misc_RNA from 1 species